AGCCCGAGUAAACGGCGGCCGUAACUAUAACGGUCCUAAGGUAGCGAAAUUCCUUGUCGGUUAAAUACCGACCUGCAUGAAUGGCGUAACGAGAUGGGAGCUGUCUCAACCAGAGAUUCAGUGAAAUUGUAGUGGAGGUGAAAAUUCCUCCUACCCGCGGCAAGACGGAAAGACCCCGUGGAC
rnacentral:rRNA from 1 species